UAUGGGUUAGUGGCGGACGGGUGAGUAACGCGUGGGUAACCUGCCUUACACAGGGGGAUAACACUUAGAAAUAGGUGCUAAAACCGCAUAAGCGCACAGCUUCGCAUGAAGCGGUGUGAAAAACUCCGGUGGUGUAAGAUGGACCCGCGUCUGAUUAGCUUGUUGGCGGGGUAACGGCCCACCAAGGCGACGAUCAGUAGCCGGCCUGAGAGGGUGAACGGCCACAUUGGGACUGAGACACGGCCCAAACUCCUACGGAAGGCAGCAG
rnacentral:rRNA from 1 species